ensembl:lncRNA novel transcript
AGGAGCCUUGUGGAGUUCCCUGGAAGAAGACGGUGGUAGCCAGCACAUGGAAGGUAGCCACUCCAGAGGCUCUGUGAGGACUCUGUGCAGACUUCACAAGGGAAGGUGUUUCCACAGGAGCCUCUGCGCCCUUCGCUUUUGAGAAGGAAGUGACCAGGAACAAGACUUUAGAACUUGUAAAUUAGAAAAAGCAGUUCUAUAACUCCCAUGAGCUCCCAAAUCUGGCCCAACCCUUCAGGAAAUGAAGACUCAGCAGCUCUCUGGCCUCCCCAGGGAAAACAGUGUCUGUCCCCACGGAAAGAAGAAGGGCAGCUGGCAGGGCCACUUCUGCUGCAAAGGUGAUUUUACUAUGCAGCCACUAUUAAAAACCACAGAUGUCAUUGAUGAUGAUGAUGAUGAUGAUGAUGAUGAUGAUGAUGAUGAUCAUGAUCAUGAUCAUGAUGAUGGUGAUCAUGAUGAUGGUGAUGAAGACGGCAAUGACUGCAGAAUUUGGGGAAGAGGAAGCCUGAAGGAGUCCACAAAACAAUGUCCUUCAAAUCAGAGUUUAUUCAAUGCUGAUUUUUCAUUUUUCUAUGGUUCUGUUUGGGGACAAGUCAGUCAAAUAACUUGAACCUCAGCGUCCUCAUCUGCAGAAUGGGAAUAAUAACAGUUUGUAAAGUUAUCGUGAAGAUGACACAAAAUGCUGGAGACGUUGGACGUGCUCUAUAGAAAAUAAUUUCUAAACAAUAAAGAAUAUUAUAAUAAACAUUAAACUUUC